UGGGGAAUAUUGGACAAUGGGCGCAAGCCUGAUCCAGCAAUGCCGCGUGUGUGAAGAAGGCCUUCGGGUUGUAAAGCACUUUUGUUUGGGAAGAAAUCCGGUUGGUUAAUACCCGAUCGGGAUGACGGUACCAAAAGAAUAAGCACCGGCUAACUUCGUGCCAGCAGCCGCGGUAAUACGAAGGGUGCAAGCGUUAAUCGGAAUUACUGGGCGUAAAGCGUGCGUAGGUGGUUUGUUAAGUCAGAUGUGAAAGCCCUGGGCUCAACCUGGGAACUGCAUUUGAUACUGGCAGGCUAGAGUGCGGUAGAGGGUGGUGGAAUUCCCGGUGUAGCGGUGAAAUGCGUAGAGAUCGGGAGGAACAUUCGUGGCGAAGGCGGCCACCUGGACCAGCACUGACACUGAGGCACGAAAGCGUGGGGAGCAAACA
rnacentral:rRNA from 1 species